AACGUAGGACGCAAGCGUUAUCCGGAGUUACUGGGCGUAAAGCGCGGGCAGGCGGCUCGCAACGGUCUGAUGUGAAAUCUCCUCGCUCAACGGGGAGAGGCCAUUGGAAACGGUCGAGCUGGAGGGCAGUAGAGGUAGGCGGAAUUCCCGGUGUAGCGGUGGAAUGCGUAGAGAUCGGGAAGAACAUCAGUGGCGAAGGCGGCCUGCUGGGCUGUUGCUGACGCUGAGGCGCGACAGCGUGGGGAGCAAACAGG
rnacentral:rRNA from 1 species